UACGAGGGGGGCGAGCGUUGUUCGGAAUUAUUGGGCGUAAAGGGUGCGUAGGCGGUUUGGUAAGUCUUGUGUGAAAUCUACAGGCUCAACUUGUAGUCUGCACGAGAAACUGCCGGGCUUGAGUGUGGGAGAGGUGAGUGGAAUUCCUGGUGUAGCGGUGAAAUGCGUAGAUAUCGAGAGGAACACCUGCGGCGAAGGCGGGUUGCUGGGCCGACACUGACGCUGAUGCGCGAAAGCCAGGGGAGCGAACGGG
rnacentral:rRNA from 1 species